GUGCUAGCCGCCGCGGUAAUACGGAGGGUGCAAGCGUUGUCCGGAUUUAUUGGGUUUAAAGGGUGCGUAGGCGGCCUUUUAAGUCAGUGGUGAAAGCCAACAGCUCAACUGUUGAACUGCCAUUGAUACUGGAAGGCUUAAGUGAAGUCGAGGCAGGCGGAACUGGUGGUGUAGCGGUGAAAUGCAUAGAUACCACCAAGAACCCCGAUUGCGAAGGCAGCUUGCUGGGCUUUAACUGACGCUGAGGCACGAAAGCGUGGGGAGCGAACAGGAUUAGAAACCCUUGUAGUCC
rnacentral:rRNA from 1 species